AAAGCUUUAAGUUAAAAAAACUAUUAACCUUCAAAGUUAAAAAUACUAAAAAGUAAGCUUUA
rnacentral:tRNA from 3 species